rnacentral:lncRNA from 1 species
GCAUGGGGAUGCUAGCGAACAACGGUGCCGGAGAAACCAAAGGCGUGAAACCCACCCUUGGUGUUGGUGGUGGAACCACCGUGGACAAUCACCAUGCCAUCCCUCGAGAUCAGUAUAGCAAUCAUGGAGGAGAUGAAGGAGGUAGUGGUAGUGAUUCAAACAACUAGUGCCCAGUUCAUGUUCUCUAAGUUCUCUAUGGUGUUGGUUUCUACAGAUUCAUGUGGCUGUUUGUGUGGGAGAGGAAGGUUAUAUUUGUGUUAAGGUACUACUCCUCAUGUGACAUAUAACACACAAAUAUGUAUCUGCAACCGUAAUUUUGGAACGUGACAAUAUAUAUACUGUUUGUAAGGAAGAGAAUGUACUGUUUCAGGAGGAUAUGUGUACAAUAUCCAGGUGUUUGUGGAUAUUAUAUUCUCCAAGUUUAUAUGUUUGUACAUACUAUUGUGAUGUUAAAAAAUAAUGUUCUCCUAAAACUUAAAUCGAAUGCUAAUUCUCAAAUUAUUGGUGUAGAUCUUAUAUUUCUGAGGCUACUAUAGAUAUGGUCAGUAGGAAAGAGAAAAUAUCAACCUUGUCAAGACAAGACAUUUGAGUGGAGUUGAAGGUGCUUGAGAUGAACAAAUCAGCAUUGUUACUGUAUAGGGACCACACAGAUAAAACUGGAGUAUAGAAAAGUAGAAUAUCAACAGAAACAUGUAUUCACAUUCGCAAAAAAAAAACAGAAACAUUUAUUCUGUUGGAAAGCCAGAGAUUAUACUUACAUACUUUAGCAGCCAGAUUUCCAAGGUGAAACAGAAAAUUUUUCCGUAAUCUAAGCAUGUUCAAUCUGAACUUACAUGCUAUUGUUCACUGAAUAAAUUAUUAUUUAAACCAAACUUGCUUUCGUAUGCAAUAAGCACACAUCUAAGUUGCAAACUCAAUAUAUUUCGGCAAAUCGCAGACGUCCUAAGCUGCAAGCACUGAUCUAAGAUGUGAAAAACCAAAUAAAUAUAUAUACAAAAGCAUGUUUUGUUACUACACAACACUUAAUCUGUGUUGACUCCAAACCCUCCCCAUGC